rnacentral:rRNA from 1 species
UACGUAGGGUGCGAGCGUUUAAUCGGAAUGACUGGGCGUAAAGGGUGCGCAGGCGGUUGGUCAAGACGGAUGUGAAAGCCCCGGGCUUAACCUGGGAGUGUCAUUCGUGACUGACGAACUAGAAUAUGGCAGAGGGAGGCGGAAUUCCACAUGUAGCAGUGAAAUGCGUAGAUAUUGGGAAGAACACCGGUGGCGAAGGCGGCGACCUGGUCCGACACUGACGCUGAGGCGCGAAAGCGUGGGGAGCAAACAGG